CUGGUCAGGCGGUCACCGCCGCCUCGCGCAUCCAUGCCGCUCGCCGCCGCCGGUGCCAAGCUUUAGCUAGGACUUUCCCUGACUCUCGGCUCGCCGCCCCUAGAUGUUUCAUGCAUACUAAGAUGGUAUACUUCGCGCUCGAUCUCCAAAUUGACGCCUGCCCUCUUGAUCACCAACAAAGGCUUGCUCCGAGCUGAAGCGUUGAUCCUAGCAUCAGCAUCUAAGUUGGCAUUGAGACCCGGUCAGCCAGAAUGGAUCAGUAUUGCUUUUUUGUUUCUGCGGAAAGAGAUCAGUAUUGUUUUCCUCAAUUGCCAUAGCAAAAAGACACUCGCCGUAGAUCAAAUCUCUUGACAUAGCAGCAGAACACUUGCCAGAGAGAAAAUGUUUAUAUGAUCAAACAUCCCCUUGUUAAUGAACGGCUAAGACUAAUACAGAUCCUGCCUUUGGGGGGUAUCUGGAGCUAGCGUUUUGAGAGAGCUCAUUUGGUUAAUGGGCUUGGGUAUUUUCCAUGGGCGCCCGACUCUUUCCCUUUGCCUCCCAAGCCUAAACAUCACAUCUCCAUGCCCACUGCAUCGACCCAGCAAACUCCUAUUUCUUAGUCAAAAAUGAAAACGUUUGAUGUUUGGGGGGAAAUAGUAUGUUCGUAUAUGUAUUCCUCCUCAAGAUGCAAGAGAUUGUCCUCACUCCUGGAAUUGAAUUCACCUGAGAGCCAACAGCCAUAUAAAGCACUUGCACGGCCGAUUCAAUAGGGAUCUGGAUGCAUCUGGGCACCAACUUAAUUAGUAUAUAGUCUUCACUCUUCAGUGCACGAGAUUUUCUUGUCUUUUGACUAAGACCACAUAUGGACGUCAGGACUUUAUUUCAACAAAUGGGAGAAUCAUAUGUAUCCUAAGAUGCACAUAAUAAUUUAUUUCAUAGAUCACUAGAUAAAAAGUUAAUUACAUAGAUCAUGAAAACAAAGUUCACACAAUAAUACUAUAAAUAAUGGCAAAUUUCAUAGAUCAAAAAAUAAAAAUAGUCUGCCGCCUCUUGGAUGUAAAAAUCAAUUCAGGUACAAGAAGUCGUCGAACGGGAACAACCUAUUGUUGCCAUCACCAUAUCAUCUAAAGCCACAACUAGUGUUCUACAACUUGCUAGUAGAUCCCAAUCCUUAAUAAUUGAGAUGGCGUAUUCGGGAAGCUGACCACUCGGUUUGACGUGUCGGACCUGCCCUCUUCACCUAGGUUUGAGGUGGAAGAAGACCUUGACACUACCUCCAAGGAGCGUUUUGGUCAUCUAUGAGUACAUAGCUUUUGGCUCGGUAGAUCAUCUUCUCAACAUCUCAGGCUAGACACCCGAUUUUGUCAGGCACGAUGUUCAUGUAGCAACCAAACAGCCCCUUCAAUCCGGCAGUUGCAGCGUCUGUAUAGUCGUAGAGCUUAAUCUAUGUACCCUAUCCUUAUUCUAGAUUAUGACAAAUAAUCAAAGCAGUAAAUUAAAUUACACGCACGAAGCUAGACUCCACUAAUGCUAAAUUACAAAGAGGGUUAAUUGGCUAAAUUGAAGCCGACAAAAAAACAACGCCGCAUGGAAGUCGCCAUUGACUAAGGCCGCGUUUGACAUUGCGGUGGAUUCUCGUAAUCCCGUUUUUUCAACCAUUUUUCACUAUUUUCAUGUUUGGCUAACCAACUUUUCCCUACUUUCGUGCGUAUUUUUUCACAACAGAUUAUAAAAUAAGUUCAGUGCAUCACAGUUCAACAAUGGCAAACCGAGCCUAAAUAUUUUCAUCCAAGCUAUCAAAUGCAAGAUAUGUAGUUAUUUAAGAGGAUUAGUCACGGUCUCUGCUCUCUAUCUAGUGGAAUCAUCAAUAUCGGUGGCUGAGCUAUCCGUAUACAGCCAUUGGGUUCAAAUGAACUCAAUGGAAUGAAUUAAUCCUCCACUAACAUAAUCUUUGAUUUGCACAUUAGUGAAAAAACAUAAUCUUUGAUUUGCACAUUAGUGAAAAAAUAUGUACCGUAACCAAGGGAGUGAACCCAAUGGUUUGGUUCUCAGCUUCACCACUGAUCAACUUGAGUGACCAACAUUUUCCUGGCACCUCUCACUCCCACGCAUGCCUACGCUUUGCACAAGAGCUCUCACCCUCAAAUCAUCUUCGCAACUUUGCUGCCUUCAUCUCUUCUUUUCUUUGCCUAUGAAUCCAGAGUGGGCAGGUGAGUCAUAUAUAGCCAUUCGCAGCAACUAACGCAAUCAGAGCUUCUUGGUGUUAUGACUUAUGAUUUAGCAAGGAGGUUGUUGCAGUCAGGGGCGGAGCCAGGCCCGUGCUACCGGUGCUGUGGCAGUGACCGGGACAAGCCGAACACUUGUGCUUAGCAAGUCAUAAAACACGCGUACCCAAGCAUGGAAACUGAGCAAUAAAAACAUGUGAUUCAAUAACCAGGUGGCAUGUCACUCCUGCCCACUAGUAUAUAUAGGGAUAUGCACCGUGUACCAAAACGGUUCAAAAUUGCAAAUUUCUGAAACCAUGACAAAAUUGAAGAGUUCUGAACUGAGUCCAGGAAUACGGUUGUUUCAUGCUAGAUAUAUUUUGACCCGUUUGAAAUAAACAUCAAUUCAAGAGUCUCAAUAAGGCGGUUCCAAACUAAAUUUUGCCAAUGGCCGCUUCUUGAUGUCGGCAUUGGUUCUGUUUCCUUUUGGUCACUAGUGAGGAGAAACACACAAAAUUGUGCUGGAUUCGCUUCCCAGGCGCAUGUUGCCAUGCUUUCUAGGCAUACAUCUGUGUUAAAAAAGCGAACACAAAGAGGCCAAAUCUGGACGGAUAUGCCCGGAGUCCACCAUAUCCGCUGGAAGAGGGGCAUGCGCUCAAGCUGGGGGAUAACAGGGUGGAGUAGGCAUGCACGUUCAACAAUGUCCUCGUGUAAAUUAAGCACCGUCAUUUGUCAACGGAAUCCCUAGAUGUUGAUUGUAGUUAUUGAGGCGUCAUUGUUGAUAUGUGGGAUUACGUAACAAGCCUUUUUUUUAUGGUUACCUAUCAAGUCAUAUCAAUUACAUGUAGAUAGAUGAAAAAAGCGCCUCACCAGCCAACAAAACCCCAUGUUUAGAUCGUUGUCUAUUUGAGUCCAUGGCCUUCUCUUCGUGCUAAUGCAUUUGUCUCGAUUACUCGAACACAACUGUUCUUUCGUUCCCAAUUCUCACCCUAGCAAGUGAAGAGUUUCGUGACACAACAUUGGAGACAUAUGGCAGGCCUUAAGUGGAGGCAGACACCUUGGACACCUUGCGUUGUGUGAAAGACCAAGUAUAUUACUAGCAUGUUCUAUUUUCGGCAAAUUCUAUUUUCAACUGGUCCACCGUGAAUCAAAAUCGUGGCCACGCCCACUGAUGCUUCCUGGUCUUUUUUUUUGUGAGAGGUGGUGCUUCCUUCUUUUUUUUUGUGCUUCCUGGUCACGGUCGAGCCCAAAAGCUCGGUGAGGCAAAAGCUCGACCAUCUGUGCAAAAAGCCCGAGCUGAGCGAGCCCUUUUAGCUCGUUCUGGCUUCGGGCGGAGCCGGGCUCGGCUCGGGCCAGCUCGGCGAGCUGAAUUGGAUCGAAGCCCAAUAGCCCAUCGUGAAAUUGUGCAGGCCAUAGCCCAACGUCCCCGUCCCGGCCGCCAUGCCCCUUCCCUUCCCCAUCUCUUCCACGCUUCGCUCUUUUUUUUUUUUUCACUUCCUCGUGUCCCUUCCGCCGGUGCCGCAUCUCUUCCUCGCUGCAAGUGGCCUACCGCCGCCGCCGGCUGCCUCAUGUGGCUGACAGCAGCUCGCCGCUCAUGGCCUCCCGCCGCUGCGUGCAUCUCGCCGCCGCUCGUGGCCUCCCAUCGCUGCGACCGCGCCGCGCCGACCAGAUCCAGUGUGGCUAGGAGGCAAUCAAUCGCAGCCUAAUAAAUCGCAGCGACCGAGGCAAUCAAAGAGCUUCUUGGCAUUAUAAGUCAGCAAGCAGGUUAUUGCACUUGCCGGCCGAGCUGAAAAGGAAGAGAAAGUGUUGGAUAGUCAUAAACCACUCGACAGGAACAUAAAUUCAUGUGAUUCGGUUAGAGUUGGAUGUCGUCACCAGGAUGCUGCUAAAAAAUUAUCGUCAUUUAUACUUCCUCCAAUCCAUAUUAAUUGUCGAAAUGUUACAUGUAUCUAGAUACAUUCAUAUUUGGACAAAUUUGAGACAAUUAAUAUGGAUCGGAAGGAAUACAUUUUUUUAAAGGAGCACUACAAUUAGAGAACAACACUAUUUUGCUUCUCA